GGCCGGGGCGGCGCCGAGGCCCGGCCGGAGCGGGAGCCCAAGCGCGGCGGGCGCGGUGGCCGGGGCGGGGGGCUUAGGCCGGCGAAGAUGGCGAGCGUGGGGCUGCAGUUCCAGGCGAGCGCCGGGGACGCGGACCCGCAGAGCCGGCCGCUGCUGCUGCUCGGGCAGCUGCACCACCUGCACCGCGUGCCCUGGAGCCACGUCCGCGGGAAGCUGCUGCCCCGGGUCACCGAGGAGCUCUGGCAGGCUGCCCUAAGCACGCUCAACCCCAGCCCCACGGACAGCUGUCCCCUCUACCUGAACUAUGCCACCGUGGCCGCCCUGCCCUCCAGGGUGAGCCGGCACAAUAGCCCCUCGGCCGCGCAUUUCGUCACCCGGCUCGUGCGGACCUGCCUGCCGCCGGGAACCCAUCGGUGCAUUCUGAUGGUCUGUGAGCGGUCGGACGCCUUCGCCUCGGCCUGUGCCCUGGCCCGCGCUUUCCCACUCUUCACCCAACGCUCGGGGGCAUCACGGCGCCCGGAGAAGAAGACCGUCACAGUGGAGUUUUUCCUGGUGGGACAAGACAACGGGCCAGUGGAAGUGUCCACUUUGCAAUGUUUAACAAGCGCCACAGAAGGCGUGCGGCUGGCAGCCCGCAUCGUGGACACGCCCUGCAAUGAGAUGAACACAGACACCUUCCUCGAGGAGAUUAAGAAAGUUGGAAAAGAACUGGGGAUCGUCCCAACCGUUAUCCGGGAUGAGGAGCUGAAGACAAGAGGAUUUGGAGGGAUCUACGGUGUGGGCAAGGCCGCCCUCCACCCCCCAGCCCUAGCCGUCCUCAGCCACACCCCGGACGGAGCCACCCAGACCAUCGCGUGGGUGGGCAAGGGCAUCGUCUACGACACCGGGGGUCUCAGCAUGAAGGGGAAGACCACCAUGCCAGGGAUGAAGAGGGACUGCGGGGGCGCCGCGGCCGUGCUGGGGGCCUUCAGAGCCGCCGUCAAGCAGGGUUUCAGAGACACCCUCCAUGCCGUGUUCUGCCUGGCUGAGAACUCGGUGGGACCCGGCGCCACGAGGCCGGACGACAUCCACCUGCUGUACUCAGGAAAGACUGUGGAAAUCAACAACACGGACGCCGAGGGCAGGCUGGUGCUGGCGGAUGGCGUGUCCUACGCGUGCAAGGACCUGGGCGCCGACAUCAUCCUGGACAUCGCCACGCUGACCGGAGCUCAGGGCAUCGCCACGGGCAAGUACCACGCGGCAGUGCUCACCAACAGCGCCGAGUGGGAGGCGGCCUGCAUGAAGGCCGGGCGGCAGUGCGGGGACCUGGUGCACCCGCUCGUCUACUGCCCGGAGCUGCACUUCAGCGAGUUCACCUCGGCCGUGGCAGACAUGAAGAACUCAGUGGCGGACCGGGACAACGGCCCCAGCUCCUGCGCCGGCCUUUUCAUCGCCUCGCACAUCGGCUUCGACUGGCCCGGGGUCUGGGUCCACCUGGACAUCGCUGCGCCCGUGCACGCCGGUGAGCGGGCCACGGGCUUCGGUGUGGCUCUCCUGCUGGCGCUCUUCGGCCGGGCCUCUGAGGACCCUCUGCUGAACCUGGUGUCCCCGCUAGGCUGUGAGGUGGACGCCCAGGAGGAGGACGUGGAGAGGGACUCCAAGAAGCGCAGGCUCGUGUGACGCGGCUGCCCCGCCCGGCGGCGCUGGGCUCUUUACCUCACUUUGCACUGAUUAAUUCCCGUUUUAGAAAGCAACCCUGACGCCUGCCCAUGGGCCUGAGGCUCCGGGAUGCCACCACCUUCUCCCAAACCAGCAUCUGCCUUUGAGAUGCAGCUUGUCAACCUCGUUUUUACAGAUGAGCACCCUGGGGCCCUCGGGUCCAGGCCUGCACACAGCCUGGGCCAUCUUGGAUCUGAGGGUUCAGAGUGUAGACUCCUCGGGCUCUUAGGGCUUUCCCACAACCUGCCGUCUGCAGGGAAGGCUGUCCCGACCCCCUGAGCACAUCACGAGGCAAGUGUUGUACGGGUUCAAGUGAAGGUCCCCCCCGGGCAUGUUCCUAGGUGCUGAAGGACCCAGUCUGGCCAGGUUUCAGGGAGACCCCUGACCCGGGCCCAGCGGAGGAGAUCGGGGACUCGGGCCCCACCCGGCAUGGCGGCGGCUGCCCACGCCUCCUCUGCUGGGGACGGGAGGGCGAGAACGCGGCUGCAGGACACUCGUCCCCAGGCUGUGCCCUGACAAUCAAGGUGACUCUUUCUGGGUUUGGUCCCAAGCAUGUAUUUAAUGACUGCCUGCCGUGGGCACAGCCCCGCCUGGGAAAACCAUGGCCCACGUGUUAAGUCGCAGUAGUAGAGGUCACAGGGUGCUCGGCGGGCCACGCUGUGAGCUCAGGGAGGCGCGGGGGCCGGAGGGGCCAGGAGCCUUCACGGGUCAUUAGCGUGCUUAAUGGUCUUGAAGUAGGCAGCUCGCUCCAGCUUCCCCCAGAAGCCCUGGAGGAGCCAGAGAUCACCGAGGUGGCCCAGCUCCUCCUCCAGGCAGCUGUCACUGUCCCCCACCCCCCCCAGAGGCUGCAGGAUGCAGGGUCAGGGAGCCGGGAGGAACUGAGUCUCCCUUGUGUGGGCACAAAGGCGGCCUCAGGCCCGGGGACUCAGCUGGGGAGCAGCUGCAAGGGCUUGGCAUCAGGGGGACCCAGGGCUGAGGCAAAGACCCUGCUUCUCGAGGCCAAAGGGCCUGAGGACCUGACGGCUGCUUCCCAUGGCCCCUCUGGAGCCCCGGCAACAGGGUGGCUGGGGGCCGGCGGGCGCCGCUGCGUCCACUCGAUCGUGGUCUCGGGCGAGCGGUACAGGAAGCUGAGCCUGGCCAGCAGCUUCUGCUCCAGCUGCAGCUUGCCCAGCUCACGGACCGGGAAGACGGCAGCGCAGAGCCCGAGCACGCGGACCACGUCGGGCAUCUGGUCGUACAUGAUGGACCGGGCAAUGCCGGGGAAGUGCUCGUGGAUGAACUUGGCCGCGACCAUCACCACCGACACGUAGAGCCCGACGAGGCUGGGUGGGGGGCGGCCGUCAGCGCCGCUGUCCCGGGAGAGGGGUCACGGCCCCCGACUCAGCCCAGCUGGAUAGGGGCGCGAGUGCUAGCUGCUCACAGCCCCCGAGGCCUCCUGUGGGUGGGUCUGGGGUUCCAGCCCCCGCCUGGGGUUGGAGGGUGGGGUGACGGGCACCCGUGGAGCGACACACGUUAUUACCCUGCAGACAGGAAUGAGGGACAGGACGGUGGGAAUGUUUCUUUCUGCUCGUGGCUUGUGUGACAGACAGUAAACCACCGUCUUGGUAUGUUUCUGAGGCCAAGGGAACAGGGGCUUGUGCCCCCCCACCCCUCCCGGGGCACUUCUGGGGAGCAGGGGUGAGGAGGGACCGGAAGGUUCUGAAGAGCCCAGGGCACGAGGCAGGUUCUUAGAGCCGGGGGAGCCUUACCCGUAUCCCGCCAGGAAGUCCAGGCUCCGGGGGCUGACUUUGUCGUGAAAGAUGACCAGCUCCAUGUCCUGGCCGCAGCCCCGGCUCUGGUCACAGCCUGGCCGCCACUCCUGGACACCCCGCCACUCGGCCGCCGUGAGGGCCUCCACCGGCCUCAGCUGCUGCAGCCGGACUGCGGCGUUGCAGAAGAAGGCCAGGCGGUCCACGUCCCAGGACCCGUGGGAGUGGGCUGUGCAGGGGACACAGCAUCAGGCCCUGGGGACGUCUGCAGGCUCGGGAAGACCCAGUGUCCCCCAAGGUGACCGGGUCAGGGAACUUGCCUCGGAUGGGCCCGAGAUGGACGUUCAGGGAAACGAAACCUCUAACGCUCUCCGGCUCUCCCCAUACGCAAUGCAGCCUCCACUCAGGCGCAGCCUGGCCCUGCACCCAAAAUGCACCCCUUUUUCCUGCCUUGUUCAGGGGCCCCCCACCUGGAGGCCCCUUCCCCAGCCGGCCCCUGGCAGUGCCUCCUGAUGGGCCGGUAGUUGUGGUCUCCCUGGAAGGCUCAGCCUUGUCCCCUGGUGCACACGGAUGCACCCCCUAAGAGCUCGCGGGGCCCCCAGGAGCACAUCCGCGACCCCACCAGCCCCCUCCCCCGGUCCACGUUGGUUAGGUUGGCAUCUGCUGCAGGACACUCUGCCCAGAACCUCUGUUCACACUGUUCCCUGGCAAAUUGAUGUUCAGCAGUUGUUUAUUUGUUUGUUCCUUAACAAAAGGUUGCUUUGGUUUGAGAUUCAGCAAAAACACACGCCGCCUUCUGCUUCCUCUCCAUUCAGGAUUCAGUAAAUUAGCUGUUCUCCAGUUGGCUUCGGGGCCUCGCCUCAAAUGAGCCUCCCGCAAGCUAAUGCGUUUAAAAGCCUCGGAAAAGUACCAGGCAGCACGCACGCGACAGAUAGCGUCAGCCCGCGAGCGGCUGGCUCAGCCCUGCGCCCGACCCCGUCUGCCCCAGCAGCGCCAUCUGAGGCCGGGCAGGGAUGUGAGGGCGGGACGGGCCCUUAUCAACUUCCAGCCGGGGGGCCUCUCUGCGGUCCUGCGAGCUUUGGGGAUGAGUCCAGGGAGGAGUCUUCAGUCAGGAAAACAAAAGAGACGAGAAUGCACAGGCCGCUUCACAGUCACCUGCAGUUAGCAUAGUUCCAACACAAGGGGCCUCCGUCUGAAACCGUGAGUUCCUAUUGGCUGCGUGAGAAACUCUGCGGGGCUCAGACCCCCCGCCCCCUCACCGAGUCAGCUGAGAAAGUCUCCCCAACUCCGUGACCGUGGCCUCCCUUGAGAUGCUUGACUGUCCCUUUCUUCUAAUGGGUCGGCUGAGUUUCUGUGGCGUCCGCGAGCAUGUUUGGUCCAGCGUGGGGAUGGCCUGAAGGCGGCUUCCUCGGCCAGCAAUCUUUAUUAAGCGCCACCUGUAUGCACCCGUGAGACACGCACUCCUCUCGUGGGGUCCUUCCCAGCCUGCAGCCCUGGGGGGCCAGCUUCUAGCUGGGGAGCCAGAGCUGGCCUGUGGGAAGCUGGAGGUGGGCUGCCCCCGGCACCCAGGGGGCCCGAGCUGUAGGCGGCUCGCAGGCCGGAAGCGGCCCUCAGGCCCACCUCAGACACUCGCUUUCUUGUACCAACCAUGGAGAUGUCAUUAGCAACUAAUAAAAUAGUAUCUUG